GACGAACGCUGGCGGCGUGCUUAACACAUGCAAGUCGAACGGUGAAGCGCCUUCCUUUUUGGUGGGUGUGGAUGAGUGGCGAACGGGUGCGUAACACGUGAGUAACCUGCCCCCUUCUUCUGGAUAACCGCAUGAAAGUGUGGCUAAUACGGGAUAUUCUGGGUCUGUCGCAUGAUGGGUCUGGGCAAGAUAUUGUUUCGGUGGGGGAUGGGCUCGCGGCCUAUCAGCUUGUUGGUGGGGUGAUGGCCUACCAAGGCGGUGGCGGGUUGCCGGCCUGAGAGGGUGGACGGUCACACAGGGACUGAGGCACGGCCCAGACUCCUACGGGAGGCAGCAGUGGGGAAUAUUGCACAAUGGGCGCAAGCCUGAUGCAGCGACGCCGCGUGAGGGAUGGAGGCCUUCGGGUUGUGAACCUCUUUCGCCAGUGAAGCAGGCCUGCCUCGUUUGUGGGUGGGUUGACGGUAGCUGGAUAAGAAGCGCCGGCUAACUACGUG
rnacentral:rRNA from 1 species